UACGGAGGGUGCGAGCGUUGUCCGGAAUCAUUGGGCGUAAAGGGCGCGUAGGUGGCGGGACAAGCGUGCGGUGAAAGCUCGGGGCUCAACCCCGAGUCGGCCGUGCGAACUGUCUUGCUUGAGCACUGUAGAGGCAGGCGGAAUUCCGGGUGUAGCGGUGGAAUGCGUAGAGAUCCGGAAGAACACCGGUGGCGAAGGCAAUCCCCUGGGCCUGCACUGACGCUCAUGCACGAAAGCGUGGGGAGCAAACAGG
rnacentral:rRNA from 1 species